CCUACGGGAGGCAGCAGUGGGGAAUUUUGGACAAUGGGCGAAAGCCUGAUCCAGCAAUGCCGCGUGAGUGAAGAAGGCCUUCGGGUUGUAAAGCUCUUUUGUCAGGGAAGAAACGGUGAGAGCUAAUAUCUUUUGCUAAUGACGGUACCUGAAGAAUAAGCACCGGCUAACUACGUGCCAGCAGCCGCGGUAAUACGUAGGGUGCAAGCGUUAAUCGGAAUUACUGGGCGUAAAGCGUGCGCAGGCGGUUUUGUAAGUCUGAUGUGAAAUCCCCGGGCUCAACCUGGGAAUUGCAUUGGAGACUGCAAGGCUAGAAUCUGGCAGAGGGGGGUUAGAAUUCCACGUGUAGCAGUGAAAUGCGUAGAUAUGUGGAGGAACACCGAUGGCGAAGGCAGCCCCCUGGGUCAAGAUUGACGCUCAUGCACGAACGACGUGGGAGGACGAACAGAGUAGUAUACCUACGGUAGUACGACCGACCCGUAACCGACUGUCUACUAGUUGUUCGGUUCGUUA
rnacentral:rRNA from 1 species